rnacentral:rRNA from 1 species
AGGAUGAACGCUGGCGGUCUGCUUAACACAUGCAAGUCGAACGGGCGUAGCAAUACGUUAGUGGCGGACGGGUGAGUAACGCGUGAGAAUCUACCUUCAGGACGGAGACAACAGUUGGAAACGACUGCUAGCCCCCGAUGUACCGAAAGGGCAAAUAUUUAUAGCCUGAAGAAGAGCUCGCGUCCGAUUAGCUAGUUGGAGAGGUAAAAGCUCACCAAGGCGACGAUCGGUAGCUGGUCUGAGAGGACGAUCAGCCACACUGGGACUGAGACACGGCCCAGACUCCUACGGGAGGCAGCAGUGGGAAUUUUCCGCAAUGGGCGAAAGCCUGACGGAGCAAGACCGCGUGGGGGAAGAAGGCUCUUGGGUUGUAAAACCCCUUUUUCUCUGGGAAGAACGCAAUGACGGUACCAGAGGAAUCAGCAUCGGCUAACUCCGUGCCAGCAGCCGC